AUAUAUAUAAAUAUCUAACAAAUUCGUCAUCAAUCAAGGACUUUGUAAACAAUUAUUGACAUUUAAUACACAAAGAGUGGCAUUUGAUGAUGAAAAUAUAUAGCAAAAGCCCACAAAUUCAUACCGUAGCAAAAUACACAAACAAGCAAACAAGGAAAAGAGGAUUUCAAACCGUUCCAAUUGAACCGGCUACUCCGGUCCAAUUCAUAAUAACAUAGAUUCAUACAUCGUAAAUUCGUAAUCCAUUUUUGAUCAAACAACAUUACCAGAAAAUCAUAGCUGACUUUUAGCAAAGUUCAUCACCAGGAUGAGCUCUAAGAUUCCAGAAAUAGCCUUUGGGAUCGUUCUCAAAUACACUUCUCGCCAUUCUUAUAUUUCUCCCUGGCGCUUUCAUCGUCCUCACUCUUCCACCGCCGCGGCCCCUACAGCAGCCGCAGCAGCAGCGGCAGAAACAGAUGAACAAGAUCAAUGUAGCCGCAAUAACGAGGAACAGGGUGGCGACAUGGAGCCAGUGGUGGAUCUCAUCGCCUCUUGUCUCCGGUGGAAACACCUUGUCAAACCAAUCCACGACCUCGCCACCAAAAUUUUCAAUUGCCUGUAGUAAUUCCUUCAACUUUUCGAAAAUGAAAUUUAUCACUUCAUUCACACCCAUCUCUGUAGGUUGUAGUGUGUGUCGAGGUGCUUUUGAUGCUCUGGAUAGAAAAGAAUUGCUAAUUAAAUGCAAUUAGGGUUAUGAUUUUUAUAAAAAUUUGGUAUUUCCAAAAGAUGCCCAAAUUUUGGGACCCAUGUAGAGCAUUGAUGAAUACAUUUCUUCUCCACAAAGGAAGAGCGUUAUUUCUUUGUCAAG
rnacentral:lncRNA from 1 species